GGCUAAUUUAGUUUAAUGGUAAAACUACUAUUUGUGGCAUAGUUAAUCUGGGUUCAAUUCCCAGUUUUGGCC
rnacentral:tRNA from 1 species